UACAGAGGGUGCGAGCGUUAAUCGGAAUUACUGGGCGUAAAGGGUGCGUAGGCGGUUCGAUAAGUCAGAUGUGAAAUCCCCGGGCUUAACUCGGGAACUGCAUUUGAUACUGUCGAACUCGAGUUCGGUAGAGGGUAGUGGAAUUCCCGGUGUAGCAGUGAAAUGCGUAGAUAUCGGGAGGAACAUCAGUGGCGAAGGCGGCUACCUGGACCGAAACUGACGCUGAGGCACGAAAGCGUGGGGAGCAAACAGG
rnacentral:rRNA from 1 species